GAGGGUAUAGCUCAGUGGUCGAGUGCAAGCUUAGCAUGCAUGCACAAGGUCCUGAGUUCAAUCCCCAGUACCUCCA
rnacentral:tRNA from 1 species